GCUAACACAUCCACCUCUGGACUUACAUAGAUGUAAAACACCAGAAUUACAGUAUUUGAUUCCAACUGCAACGUUUAGUUUCAUCCCCUUUUGUGGAGAUCUUGUACGUUUGGUUUGAGACCAUAGUGCAUGAUUCACCUUGAAUAUAGCCUUUCUUCUGCUUUUUUUGGUUUUCUGUAAUGGUUCUCAUUCUAGUGGACUCAUUACUAAUGUCAUUACAAGACCUGAUUGUAUUGAACAUCGGUUCGAUGUUCACAUUCGAUCCUGUCAUUGGCAAAAUUGGAAAACUUGCCAUAACGUACACUUGCGGUUGAAGAUGUCAAUUCCAAUCCCAACAUUCUCAAUGGCACAAAGCUCUCACUCAAAAUGCAAAACACCAAAUCGAAUAUAUGGCUUCCUCGGAAUCGUUGAAGGUAUGAGAAAUAUUCUCUAGUCUUUCAACUUGUCAUGUAUUAGAAGCUUUGCAGUUUAUGGAGAAUGACACAGUGGCCAUAAUUGGCCCCCAAUUCUCAGCUACAGCUCAUGUUAUCUCACACAUAGCAAAUUUGCUAUGAAGGAGCUAUAUGAUAAAAUGCUGAAAUCUGCGAUGUGAGCUCGUCGGUAUCGUAAGCCCUCUUUCCAUUCAUCUCCAAACCCUAAGUCCAAGUCCAAUCAAUCAAACCAAUUGUUCUGGAUUUAUAGGUAUAAGCAUCGGAAAGGCAGGGUAUCACCAAGGCUGCGACGGGCCGGUGGAGAGAUCGGAAAUCAGGGAUUGAAGAAGAACCUCCUCAAUGAAAGUGAAGGCUUUGGAACCCCCGAAGAGCGGUCACGAGGUUGAAGGUGCGUGAAUUUCACUCUGUUUUUCUUUGUGCUUUUCUGGAAUCGUUUUGAUUGCAUUGGAUUGAAAUUGAUUGCGAUUCUGUUUGUACAUUACACUGUUUGAUUUGAGCGGCGAAAGGGGGUACGCCUUUGAAGUUCACUCUAGGAAAAGGUGAACUGUUGAAUUGAGCAUCUGACUGGAGUCGAUGCUACCCUACCACACUUUCCAUCACUCACCGCAGUUACGGUUGGCUUCCAGAAGGUGAUUUCAUUUACUCAAUUUGUGUGCUUUUGUAAUACCCCGAAAAAUCCAAAUUAAUUUCCGUGGAUUUUUAGAAAUGAUUUCACAAUAGUGGGAGCGAGUACGAGGCUCGGAGAAGUUGUGGAAUUAGUUCGAACGAUUAAUUUUCGAAAACGAACGUUAUUUAGGGGCACGCGAAAAUCGACUUUUUAUACAUACAGAAUUUGGGAAAACUUCCUUCAUGAAAGUUGUAGAGCUCGUCGAUACGAUCUCGUGCAUAUGUAGAACACAUUAUUCGGAGUUCGUAUGAAUAAGUUAUGAUAUAUCGAAAAAGUUUCCAAUUUAGUAUAUAAGCUUUCUUUUUGGGAAAUAUUCAAAAUUAGAUGUCAGUUUCCAAAAUGGGAAACCGACACUUUCUCUCUCUGGUGUGCGUCCGAGCCCGAAGAAACAGAGCAACGCUUCCGGCCAACGUUUCUCAACCUUCCGACCACCAAUCCACACCAAACCACCUCCCUUGCCUUCGACUCGACGCCGCCUACCAGCUAGACGUGACCUUGUCCACCGGAACGGCCUCAAAUCCGGCAGAUCGGAGCUGCAAAGUUUGAAACCGAAAACGGUCAACGCCGGUUUUCUCCUAGCUCCGGCCACCAAAACUCACGAUCCUUAGCUCCCUGAACUCACCUCAGGAUUCUGAACUAGCUUUACGAAGGAUCGGGACAAGUUGUUGAAGUUUCACCUUCGUCGGAGCUCGAUAUUUUCUUGAUCGGAAAACCACCUUCGAAUCCGAUUUUCUCGAGUUAUAGACCACCUUUUCUUGUGAUUCUUGGCCUGGUGAGUUCACCUUGAGAUUAUUAACAACUCUCAAAAAGGGAUCGAGGCCUGAGGUUGAAGUUUUUACGUCGGAAUUCAAGCUCGCCGGAUUCUGGAAAAUUUCCGACCACAAAGACUUUCGAUCAAGAUAUAUCGAGUUGUAGAGCGUCGUUUUGAGUAAUUCUUGAUCCAGUGAGUUCGCCUAGAUGUUCUUAACAACUCUCCAGAAGGGAUCGAAGCCUGAAAUUGAAGUUUUGACGUCGAAAUCGAACCUCGCCGGAUUCUGCAAAUUUUCGCCGGAUUCUGGAAAUUUUCCGGCCACCUCGACUGUUCUAGGUAAUUUCCGACCACUUCCUUUCGUUUUCAGACUUCAUGCUAGUUAUGAAAGUGGAUCAACUCGUCAUUUUGAACAAGUUUGUAGUUGACAACUUUUGCAUCGGAGGUGGUUGACCGUCGUUGACCGCCGCGUUGACCACCCACUGACCGCCGCUUGUGGCGGCGUAUUCGACCAUAUUUCGAGUUUUUAUUAUCUAGGUGAUGAUCUACGCAUCCUUACGAGCGUUUUGAUAUAUUACAAGGUCAUUUUAGAAAACGUUGAUAAAUAGUGGAUUUAUGUUUUGACGUUACUAUUUAACGUUUUUACGUUUUAUCUUCGGUUUACGAUCCGCUAAGAUCCGACCGUCAGAUUUACUUCAAAUUUGAAUAUGUUGAUCGUAUGACUGUCCCGAUGACUUUGUGUGGUCACGGGCGAAGAUCCCACCAUUGGAUCUUCGUAUAAUUGUGAAAUAGUGAUUCGGAAGGCGAUUCGUGAGAAUCUGACCGUCGGAUUUUCGUAUAAUUUUGAGGAGAUGUUUGUUAGAGUGAUUCAAGAAGAUCUGACCGUUGGAUCUUCGUGAUAAUUUUGGAGGAUGAUCCGAAGGGCGAUCCGUGAGGAUCCGACCGUUGGAUCAUCAUAUAAAUUCGAUCUGGCCGUUGGAUCAUCAUUAAAUUAGAAUCCGACCGUUGGAUUUCCGUAUAUGUGUGGUUUAUGAAUGAUUGCUAAGUUAAGAUCGUAUCUGACUAGGUGAUUGACGGUUUGAGUUAGUGGACGAUUGUGGAUCGUAUUUUGAGCGGAAUUGAAGACGCAGCGGGAUUAUCGAUGUGAGUAAACCUCACGUGGUUCAUAUUACGAACCGAGUACUUUUAAUUAAUUUAUUUUUUUGUCGUCAUUGUAUUGUGUGAACUAUAGUUGGUAUUAAUGGACAUUCCUGUGUGAAUGUCUAUCUAUAUAUAUAUAUUAUUUAUGUGAAAUAAUAUGUAUUGUUGAAAUUGUGAGAUAUUAUGUACUGUUAUGGUUGUGUUGAGUUUAUUGUUGAAAAGCAACAAUAUUGUGAGAGGUAUUAAAUUUAUUGUUGAGAAACAAUAAAUUGUUGAUUUGUUGAGAUAUAUUGAUCUGUGGAGAUCAAUAGGUCACGGGGGUGACCAUGGCAUCUAUUAGUGAACCACGCCCUUGUACCGGGUAGGUGGAAACUAAUAGCAUUAAAUCGUGAACCACGCCCUCGCGCCGGGUAGGUGGAAACGAUCAGUUAGAGCUCUAGUCUGUCUGCCAAAUGUUGAGUGACCUUAUGAGGGUAACGGGGAGUGACUCAUAAGUGUAUAAUAUUUAUAUAUAUAUAUAUAUUUAUAUAUAUAUGAGAGUGAGAAAGUGAAGUGGUUUUGUGGUGAUCAUUGUAAUUGUGAUGUUUCUACAUUUCUAUACUUGAGUUAAAGGAAAUGUAUUUUAUUAAAUCAACAGUUCAUUCUUGUUUACUCAUACGAGCUGUCAAAAGCUUACCGGGUUUUGUGUUGUUGCAAUCCCGGUACACUAUUCAAAUUGUGUAGCGGGUACUACUACAGGUCAGGAAAAUCAGGAAGGUGAUCGAGCUGCGUAGAGUAGCUGCAAGUGUGUUAUUCUGAUUUUCUAUUGUGAGGUUUGUUAUGCUCAUUUAGAGCUUUACAAUUUUACUUGUGAGAGUGAAUUUGUAAUAAUAAACUCGAGGUCUUCGAGAUUUUAUAUUUGAGUGGCGAGUGGUGUGUUUGUUCUGAGAAAAAAAAAAAUUCAGAACGUUUAUUUGAUUAAGUUGUUAAAUUCAUGUUUCGGAUUUGAAUUUGUUAUUCAAAAUUCAGGGCGUGACAGCUUUAGAUUUAUGUUGGAAUGAGUGAUUGUUCUGGUGGUGAUGAAUGUUAUUGUUCCAGAAUCCAGAGCAAUAGUGGUGCCUUCUGGAUUCUUUAAUUUGUCUUGCUUGUCUGGUAAAGUCCACAUAGUUAGUCUGGAUUUGUCUGGUAAAGCCACUUUUCCAGUUAACGUACAAUUUAUCCAUCCUAAUACUAUACUUAUUUUCACUUUGUUGAGAUGUACUACUUAACAUCCCUCAGGGACGGAAUGAAAUCUUGUCAGUUAUGAAUAUGUGGCAUUGCCAAGAUGCAAAGAAAGGGGUCCUUAUCCUUAGUGAGGUAAUAACUAUAAACUUAAUUUCAUGGUUCCUCCUUUUUCUUCUCAUAUUUUGAAUUGAUUUUGAGUUCUAUUUGGCAAAAAAGAAAGAAGAUACAGAUCACUACUCAAAUAAGCUUGAGAUUCUGAAAUUAUGAUAAUUGGUUAUGUAAAAGUGUCUCUUGAUUCUGUAUAGAAAGAGUUAAACUUGUAUCUGAUGCCAUGGUUGUUGCUCACUUGAUAUCCAAGCGAAUGAAUAGUCAAGUAUCAUAUCAUUCAGUACUUUUCAGGUCUGACUUAUCACUUAGCUUUUGUCCCCAUUUGGGGAACUAUGAGUUACCCUUUCUUCGUUUAUGGAUUUACAUGGCUUGAAUAUGAAAAGGAGAAGAUUAGAGGCUAGCAGUCCUGAUCACUUGCUGACCAGGGAUCAUUUGCUCAAUCACCGUCCGAUUUCAAUCGGACGGUGAGUGAGCAAAAAUUUCAUGGUCAGCAGCUGACCAUUGGAACGGGAUCGUAGAGGCUAGAACUGAAAAUUGUCAAUACGUGAAACCUUUUAGAAAUGGUAUGGAACUUUAGUAUGAGAAAUCUAUUGCAAUGAAGGACUUGAAAAGUAGAAAGCCAUCUGUAUUAUCUCCGUUGCAAUUUAAAUAUCAUCAGAAGAUGCAACUCUGAACUUGAUUUUUUUAAUUUAAAAAGUUUCUCAUUUUUUCAAUUGCAAUGAGUGCAUUUUGUUAUCAACGCUGAACCAUAUUAAGCUUUCAG